rnacentral:tRNA from 1 species
GGCGUGGUAGCUCAGUAGGUGAGAGCGCCGGAUUCAUAACCCGGAGGUCGGCGGUUCAAGUCCGCCCCACGCUACCA